AUUGAACGCUGGCGGCAGGCCUAACACAUGCAAGUCGAGCGGAUGAAGGGAGCUUGCUCCUGGAUUCAGCGGCGGACGGGUGAGUAAUGCCUAGGAAUCUGCCUGGUAGUGGGGGAUAACGUCCGGAAACGGGCGCUAAUACCGCAUACGUCCUGAGGGAGAAAGUGGGGGAUCUUCGGACCUCACGCUAUCAGAUGAGCCUAGGUCGGAUUAGCUAGUUGGUGGGGUAAAGGCCUACCAAGGCGACGAUCCGUAACUGGUCUGAGAGGAUGAUCAGUCACACUGGACCUGAGCCACGGUCCAGGCUCCUACGGGAGGCAGCAGUGGGUAAUAUUGGACAAUGGGCGAAAGCCUGAUCCAGCCAUGCCGCGUGUGUGAAGAAGGUCUUCGGAUUGUAAAGCACUUUAAGUUGGGAGGAAGGGCAGUAAGUUAAGACCUUGCUGUUUUGCCGUUACCAACAGAAUAAGCACCGGCUAACUUCGG
rnacentral:rRNA from 1 species